UACGUAGGUGGCAAGCGUUGUUCGGAAUUACUGGGCGUAAAGGGCGCGUAGGCGGUUCGUUAAGUCCUGUGUGAAAUCCCCCGGCUCAACUGGGGAACUGCACAGGAAACUAGCGGGCUUGAGUCCGGGGAGAGGGAAGCGGAAUUCCGGGUGUAGCGGUGAAAUGCGUAGAUAUCCGGAGGAACGACCGGUGGCGAAGGCGGGUCUCUGGGCAGUAACUGGACGCUGAGGAGCGAAAGCGUGGGGAGCGAACAGG
rnacentral:rRNA from 1 species